CCCCAGUAAACGGCGGCCGUAACUAUAACGGUCCUAAGGUAGCGAAAUUCCUUGUCGGGUAAGUUCCGACCCGCACGAAAGGCGUAACGAUUUGGGCACUGUCUCAACGAGAGACUCGGUGAAAUCAUAGUACCGGUGAAGAUGCCGGUUACCCGCGACAGGACGGAAAGACCCCGUGGAGCUUUACUGUAGCCUGAUAUUGAAAUUCGGUACAGUUUGUACAGGAUAGGUAGGAGCCUUAGAAGCGUGAGCGCUAGCUUACGUGGAGGCAUUGGUGGGAUACUACCCUAAUUGUAUUGGAUUUCUAACCCGCAGCACUUAUCGUGCUGGGAGACAGUGUCAGGCGGGCAGUUUGACUGGGGCGGUCGCCUCCUAAAGAGUAACGGAGGCGCUCAAAGGUUCCCUCAGAAUGGUUGGAAAUCAUUCAUAGAGUGUAAAGGCAUAAGGGAGCUUGACUGCGAGACCUACAAGUCGAGCAGGGUCGAAAG
rnacentral:rRNA from 1 species